AUUGAACGCUGGCGGCAGGCCUAACACAUGCAAGUCGAGCGGAUGAAGGGAGCUUGCUCCUGGAUUCAGCGGCGGACGGGUGAGUAAUGCCUAGGAAUCUGCCUGGUAGUGGGGGAUAACGUCCGGAAACGGGCGCUAAUACCGCAUACGUCCUGAGGGAGAAAGUGGGGGAUCUUCGGACCUCACGCUAUCAGAUGGGCCUAGGUCGGAUUAGCUAGUUGGUAGGGUAAAGGCCUACCAAGGCGACGAUCCGUAACUGGUCUGAGAGGAUGAUCAGUCACACUGGAACUGAGACACGGUCCAGACUCCUACGGGAGGCAGCAGUGGGGAAUAUUGGACAAUGGGCGAAAGCCUGAUCCAGCCAUGCCGCGUGUGUGAAGAAGGUCUUCGGAUUGUAAAGCACUUUAAGUUGGGAGGAAGGGCAGUAAGUUAAUACCUUGCUGUUUUGACGUUACCAACAGAAUAAGCACCGGCUAACUUCGUG
rnacentral:rRNA from 1 species